rnacentral:rRNA from 1 species
UGGGGAAUUUUGGACAAUGGGCGAAAGCCUGAUCCAGCCAUGCCGCGUGAGUGAAGAAGGCCUUCGGGUUGUAAAGCUCUUUUAGUCGGAAAGAAAGAGUUGCAAUGAAUAAUUGUGAUUUAUGACGGUACCGACAGAAAAAGCACCGGCUAACUACGUGCCAGCAGCCGCGGUAAUACGUAGGGUGCGAGCGUUAAUCGGAAUUACUGGGCGUAAAGGGUGCGCAGGCGGUCUUGCAAGUCAGAUGUGAAAGCCCCGGGCUUAACCUGGGAAUUGCGUUUGAAACAACAAGACUAGAGGGCAGCAGAGGGGAGUGGAAUUCCAUGUGUUGCAGUGAAAUGCGUAGAGAUGUGGAGGAACGCCAGUUGCGAAGGCGGUCUCUUGGUCCGACACUGACGCUGAGGCGCGAAAGCGUGGGGAGCAAACA